rnacentral:tRNA from 1 species
GCCUGGCUGGCUUAACUGGUAUGGCAUGAGACUCUUGACCCUGGGGUUGUGAGGUUGCACCCCACAUUGGGUACGGAGAUUACUUUAAAAAGAAAAAAGAGGGGCACCUGGGUGCCUCAGUCAGUUUAGCAUCUGCCUUCGGCUCGGGUCAUGAUCUCGGGGUCCUGGGAUCGAGCCCCACAUCAGGCU